UACGGGGGGGGUAAGCGUUGUUCGGAAUCACUGGGCGUAAAGGGUGCGUAGGCGGGUUUCUAAGUCAGGUGUUUAAUCCCGGGGCCCAACCCCGGACAGGCACUUGAAACUGGGAAUCUUGAAUAGGGGAGAGGUCAGUGGAAUUGGAGGUGUAGCGGUGGAAUGCGUAGAGAUCUCCAAGAACACCAGUUGCGAAGGCGGCUGACUGGACCCAUAUUGACGCUGAGGCUCGAAAGCAUGGGGAGCAAACAGG
rnacentral:rRNA from 1 species